rnacentral:rRNA from 2 species
UCUCAGUAAGCUUGCUUCUAUGACGUUAGCGGCGGACGGGUGAGUAACACGUGGGCAACCUGCCUGUAAGACUGGGAUAACUUCGGGAAACCGAAGCUAAUACCGGAUAGGAUCUUCUCCUUCAUGGGAGAUGAUUGAAAGAUGGUUUCGGCUAUCACUUACAGAUGGGCCCGCGGUGCAUUAGCUAGUUGGUGAGGUAACGGCUCACCAAGGCAACGAUGCAUAGCCGACCUGAGAGGGUGAUCGGCCACACUGGGACUGAGACACGGCCCAGACUCCUACGGGAGGCAGCAGUAGGGAAUCUUCCGCAAUGGACGAAAGUCUGACGGAGCAACGCCGCGUGAGUGAUGAAGGCUUUCGGGUCGUAAAACUCUGUUGUUAGGGAAGAACAAGUACGAGAGUAACUGCUCGUACCUUGACGGUACCUAACCAGAAAGCCACGGCUAACUACGUGCCAGCAGCCGCGGUAAUACGUAGGUGGCAAGCGUUAUCCGGAAUUAUUGGGCGUAAAGCGCGCGCAGGCGGUUUCUUAAGUCUGAUGUGAAAGCCCACGGCUCAACCGUGGAGGGUCAUUGGAAACUGGGGAACUUGAGUGCAGAAGAGAAAAGCGGAAUUCCACGUGUAGCGGUGAAAUGCGUAGAGAUGUGGAGGAACACCAGUGGCGAAGGCGGCUUUUUGGUCUGUAACUGACGCUGAGGCGCGAAAGCGUGGGAGCAAACAGGAUUAGAUACCCUGGUAGUCCACGCCGUAAACGAUGAGUGCUAAGUGUUAGAGGGUUUCCGCCCUUUAGUGCUGCAGCUAACGCAUUAAGCACUCCGCCUGGGGAGUACGGUCGCAAGACUGAAACUCAAAGGAAUUGACGGGGGCCCGCACAAGCGGUGGAGCAUGUGGUUUAAUUCGAAGCAACGCGAAGAACCUUACCAGUCUUGACAUCCUCUGACACUCUAGAGAUAGAGCGUU